UCAGUGGUUAGGUCUGAGAGCCCUGGAAAGCUGCGCGAGGGUGAGCGCGAGGGUGAGCGAGGAGUCGCGAGUGAGCCAACCGGUACGAGACAGGCUGGUGGGCUCCGCCGAGGCGCCCGCCUCGGAAAGAAGUUGGAGCCCUUCCCCGACCUCGCGACCUCGCGACCUCCCUCCUGACGCGACGGAGGAGUGGUUAAAGUGUACAAACAAUGGCCAGUAAUCACAAGCCUUCAGCAGCUCGCCCUGUUUCGCGAGGUGGAAUUGGGUUACCUGGAAGACCUCCUUCUGGAAUACGACCCCCGUCAGGAAAUACUCGAGUGGCAACUGGAUUGCCACCUGGAACAGCAAGACCAGGCUCUCGUGGUGGUCCCAUAGGGACAGGAGGUGUUCUGUCUUCUCAAAUCAAAGUUGCUGAUCGUCCUGUAACACAGCAAGGUUUGAGUGGAAUGAAAACUGGAAUGAAAGGUCCUCAGAGGCAAAUUUUAGACAAAUCUUAUUAUCUUGGGCUUCUUCGAAGUAAAAUAAGUGAACUUACAAUGGAAAUUAAUAAACUUCAGAAAGAAAUAGAAAUGUACAAUCAAGAGAAUUCAGUAUAUUUGUCAUAUGAAAAGAGAGCUGAGACUUUAGCUGUUGAAAUCAAAGAGUUUCAAGGACAACUAGCAGACUACAACAUGUUGGUAGAUAAACUUAAUACCAAUACUGAAAUGGAAGAAGUGAUGAAUGAUUACAACAUGCUUAAAGCUCAAAAUGAUCGAGAAACACAAAGUAUGGAUAUCAUAUUUACUGAAAGACAAGCGAAGGAAAAACAAAUUAGAAGUGUAGAAGAAGAAGUUGAACAGGAAAAGCAAGCAGCAGAUGGCAUUAUCAAAAACAUGUCUCCUGAAAAACAAGUCAAGUAUAUAGAAAUGAAAACCACAAAUGAGAAAUUGUUGCAGGAGUUAGACACACUUCAACAACAAUUAGAUUCACUGAACAUGAAAAAAGAGAGCUUGGAAGCUGAAAUAGCACACUCCCAGGUAAAACAGGAGGCUGUAUUGCUGCAUGAGAAACUUUAUGAGUUGGAGUCCCAUCGAGACCAAAUGAUUGCUGAAGACAAAAGCAUGGGAUCUCCAAUGGAAGAGAGAGAGAGAUUACUUAAGCAGGUUAAAGAAGAUAAUCAGGAAAUAGCCAGCAUGGAGCGACAGUUAACAGAUAUAAAAGAAAAAAUAAAUCAAUUUAGUGAAGAAAUUAGACAACUAGACAUGGAUUUAGAAGAACACCAAGGUGAAAUGAAUCAGAAGUAUAAGGAACUUAAAAAACGAGAGGAAAAUAUGGACACUUUUAUUGAGACUUUUGAGGAAACUAAGAAUCAGGAACUGGAAAGAAAGGCACAGAUAGAAGCCAACAUAGUUGCACUUUUGGAACACUGUAGUAGAAAUAUAAAUCGUAUGAAACAGAUCUCUUCUAUCACCAAUCAAGAGUUAAAUCAGUGGAAUUUUUUCCAUUUUUAUUUCUUUACAAAUACAGAAUAUAAAUCGUAUGAAACAGAUCUCUUCUAUCACCAAUCAAGAGCUGAAGAUGAUGCAGGAUGAUCUCAAUUUUAAAUCUACUGAAAUGCAGAAAUCACAAAGUACGGCUAGGAAUUUGACUUCAGAUAGUCAACGUCUACAGUUGGAUCUACAGAAAAUGGAACUUCUGGAAAGUAAGAUGACUGAGGAACAGCAUUCUCUGAAAAACAAAAUUAAGCAAAUGACAACUGACCUGGAGACAUACAAUGAUUUGCCAGCUUUAAAAUCAGCAGGUGAAGAAAAGAAAAAGAAAUUACAUCAGGAGAGAACAGUAUUAACAACCCGCAGAAAUGCCUUUAAGAAAAUAACAGAGAAGCUAAACAUAGAAUAUGAGACAUUAAAAACACAGUUGCAAGAAAAUGAGACACAUUCUCAGCUUACAAAUUUGGAGAGGAAGUGGCAACACCAUGAGCAAAAUAAUUUUGUGAUGAAAGAAUUCAUAGCAACCAAGAGUCAAGAGAGUGAUUACCAGUCAAUUAUGAAGAAUGUGACCAAGCAGAUUGCAGAAUACAAUAAAAGCAUUGUGGACGCUCUACAUAGCAUGAGCAGAAACUGAGUCUGAACCAACUGCAAGUCUCUAUAAUAGUAUGCUUUCUGCUAAACUGUAUGUUGACUGAAAAAGAAUCUCAUACCCUUGAAGAGUUUUACCUAAAAUUUUUAACUACUAUAAUUUUUGUGACCUCUUUGAAGAGGUAUACUACUUUAAACAGCAUAAUAGUUCAAUAAAAAGUUUGCAUACAGAAAA